AGUGAACGCUGGCGGUAGGCCUAACACAUGCAAGUCGAACGGCAGCACAGUAAGAGCUUGCUCUUACGGGUGGCGAGUGGCGGACGGGUGAGGAAUACAUCGGAAUCUACUUUUUCGUGGGGGAUAACGUAGGGAAACUUACGCUAAUACCGCAUACGACCUACGGGUGAAAGCAGGGGAUCUUCGGACCUUGCGCGAUUGAAUGAGCCGAUGUCGGAUUAGCUAGUUGGCGGGGUAAAGGCCCACCAAGGCGACGAUCCGUAGCUGGUCUGAGAGGAUGAUCAGCCACACUGGAACUGAGACACGGUCCAGAGUCCUACGGGAGGCAGCAGUGGGGAAUAUUGGACAAUGGGCGGAAGCCUGAUACAGCCAUACCGCGUGGGUGAAGAAGGCCUUCGGGUUGUAAAGCCCUUUUGUUGGGAAAGAAAGGCAGCAGGUUAAUACCCCGCUGUUCUGACGGUACCCAAAGAAUGAGGACCGGCUAACUUCGUG
rnacentral:rRNA from 1 species